rnacentral:rRNA from 1 species
GCCGGCAGCUAUGUCUCUGCAACUCUCACAUGGUUGCCCACUGAAGCUAAGCAGGGCUGUGCCCGGUCAGUACCUGGAUGGGAGACCACAUGGGAAAGCUAGGUUGCUGCUGGAA